rnacentral:rRNA from 1 species
AUUGAACGCUAGCGGGAUGCUUUACACAUGCAAGUCGAACGAGUGGCGGACGGGUGAGUAAUAUAUCGGACCGUGCCCAGUAGCGGGGGAUAACUACUCGAAAGAGUGGCUAAUACCGCAUACUCUUGGAGCGGCCGAUAUCGGAUUCGCUAGUUGGUGGGGUAAAGGCUCACCAAGGCAACGAUCCGUAGCUGGUGUGAGUGGACGACCAGCCACACUGGAACGGAGCCACGGCCCAGACUCCUACGGGAGGCAGCAGUGGGGAAUGUUGGACAAUGGGGGAAACGCUGGUCCAGCCCUGCCGCGUGUAUGAGAAGGGCGUCGGGUUGGAGAGUACUUUUGGUAUAGAAGCUGUAUCAGCAGAAUAAGCACCGGCUAACUACGUGCCAGCAGCCGCGGUAAUAC